CGCACGGGUGAGUAACGCGUGGGUAAUCUACCCUCGAAUUUGGAAUAACUUCGCGAAAGCGGGGCUAAUACCGGAUAAUAUUAAUUGAUCUUCGGAGAUAUUGAUCAAAGGUGGCCUCUACAUGUAAGCUUCUGUUUGAGGAUGAGCUCGCGUACCAUUAGCUUGUUGGUAGGGUAAUGGCCUACCAAGGCUACGAUGGUUAGCUGGUCUGAGAGGAUGAUCAGCCACACUGGAACUGACACACGGUCCAGACUCCUACGGGAGGCAGCAGUGAGGAAUUUUGCGCAAUGGGGGAAACCCUGACGCAGCAACGCCGCGUGAGUGAUGAAGGCUUUCGGGUCGUAAAGCUCUGUCAAGUGGGAAGAAAAUACAAAUUGAUAAUAUCCUUUUGUACUGACGGUACCACUGAAGGAAGCACCGGCUAACUCCGUGCCAGCAGCCGCGGUAAUACGGGGGGUGCAAGCGUUAUUCGGAUUUACUGGGCGUAAAGGGCGCGUAGGCGGUCUCUUAAGUCAGAUGUGAAAGCCCGGGGCUUAACCCCGGAAGUGCAUUUGAAACUAUCAGGCUUGAGUAUGGGAGAGGGAAGUGGAAUUCCUGGUGUAGAGGUGAAAUUCGUAGAUAUCAGGAGGAACACCGGUGGCGAAGGCGACUUCCUGGACCAAUACUGACGCUGAGGUGCGAAGGCGUGGGGAGCAAACAGGAUUAGAUACCC
rnacentral:rRNA from 1 species